UGCCAGCAGCCGCGGUAAUACGGAGGGGGUUAGCGUUAAUCGGAAUUACUGGGCGUAAAGCGCGCGUAGGCGGCUUUGUAAGUCGGAUGUGAAAGCCCUGGGCUUAACCUGGGAAUUGCAUUCGAUACUGCAGAACUAGAGUACGGUAGAGGGAAGUGGAAUUCCGGGUGUAGCGGUGAAAUGCGUAGAUAUCCGGAGGAACACCAGUGGCGAAGGCGACUUCCUGGGCCAGUACUGACGCUGAGGUGCGAAAGCGUGGGGAGCAAACAGGAUUAGAUA
rnacentral:rRNA from 1 species